AUCCUCAUGAUGUUUCAGAAUUUGUGCUUGAGUUAUCCUCUACACAGUCUACCACCACUCUGAGGGUUGAGGAUGAUCCUCAGCAAAGUGUGCUUCCUGGCAAUUGGCUACCUCGGCUUUAUAAAGAGCUGGAAAAUCAGGGAAUUACUUUGACAGAUAGAAUCAAUGAAGAAGAACUCCAUAGAUUUUAUACGGCCGCAGAUGGG